GGGAAGUUGGCUCAGCGGUAGAGCGCUUGCCUUGCAUGCAUGAGGCCCUGGGUUCCAAUCCUCAGUACCA
rnacentral:tRNA from 1 species